rnacentral:rRNA from 1 species
CCGGCGAGGGGAGUGAAAAAGAACCUGAAACCGUGUACGUACAAGCAGUGGGAGCACAGGUUUACCUGUGUGACUGCGUACCUUUUGUAUAAUGGGUCAGCGACUUAUAUUCUGUAGCAAGGUUAACCGUAUAGGGGAGCCGGAGGGAAACCGAGUCUUAAUUGGGCGUUAAGUUGCAGGGUAUAGACCCGAAACCCGGUGAUCUAGCCAUGGGCAGGUUGAAGGUUGGGUAACACUAACUGGAGGACCGAACCGACUAAUGUUGAAAAAUUAGCGGAUGACCUGUGGCUGGGGGUGAAAGGCCAAUCAAACCGGGAGAUAGCUGGUUCUCCCCGAAAGCUAUUUAGGUAGCGCCUCGUGAAUUCAUCUCCGGGGGUAGAGCACUGUUUCGGCUAGGGGGCCAUCCCGGCUUACCAACCCGAUGCAAACUGCGAAUACCGGAGAAUGUUAUCACGGGAGACACACGGCGGGUGCUAACGUCCGUCGUGAAGAGGGAAACAACCCAGACCGCCAGCUAAGGUCCCAAAGUCAUGGUUAAGUGGGAAACGAUGUGGGAAGGCCCAGACAGCCAGGAUGUUGGCUUAGAAGCAGCCAUCAUUUAAAGAAAGCGUAAUAGCUCACUGGUCGAGUCGGCCUGCGCGGAAGAUGUAACGGGGCUAAACCAUGCACCGAAGCUGCGGCAGCGA